CUUUAUAUCUUUGAUAAAUAAAUGAAUAGGUCGCCAAAGCCGUCUCUCCUUCGAAUACCCUGGAUCAGCCGGGGCUGGACCUCGGCAGCUGGGGUGCUUCACGGCGGAGUGAGGAAUUUUGUCUUCCCUUAUGGACCUAACAUUUGGUUAAAAUGCUGCAAGUAUUUCUCUCGGUCUACUGUCUUUGAAUUGUAUUUAUUUAUUUCCAAAAGAAAGAAGUGUACUUACAUGGAGUAAAAUCUAGUAAAUUUAAAAUUUUCUACCGCAAUGUCCUCUUUUGAAAGUUCUUUUCCAGCCCAAGGUGUAGAUAACAGCUGAGUUUCCUCCCGGGGUGAAGCUUUUGAGGAGGAGGAGGAAAAGGAGAAAAGCUGCUGACUUUGGCUCCUGCUCUCUUCCUUGUCCUCAGAGCCACCCACUGACCCUCAGCAAGAUCUGCAUCUUGCCCUGAGUUCUGGACCCAGAGGCCUUGUCACUGCCCACAGCUCCCUGCAGGCCCCCUGGGCUGACCUACCCCGCACCGGGGCAGGGUGAGCGGGCGCAGGCUCACGGGCAUGUGCCAGGUGCCAGCACUCGGGUGUGGGCGCAGAGGGCGCGGCCCCAGCCGGGGCUGGCAGGUGUGCUCCUCCAGUUCCUGCUCUGCCCAGUGUCACGCCCCGCCAGUGCCUGUGCCCUGCGCCCGCCCGCUCAAGUCAGGCAAGGGCCAGGCCAGAUCGCCACCUGCCAGCAUGCCGUCCUCUCUGGGGGGCUUGCAGAGGUCAGAGGCUGUAAACACUAAAUGAAGCUUUCUCAGCAUUCCCUCGCAGUUGGGGGAAGGGGGACCUUGUGACCGCAUUUCGGCCGAGAAGAUGGACAAGGAGGUUUGUUAGAGGCUUCUAAAAGGCUUUUGCUUCCUUAUUAUGGCUGGUCCUGUCCCUUCUACUUUCUUGCUGAUGCAAAUGUUUAUGUGAUGUCUGGAGCUUAGCAGCCAUAUUGUGACUACCAGGCCACGAGCAUGGGGAGAGAGAUGUCGGUUUUUGCAGUGUGACGGGGCCGAGUCUGCCGGAGCCAGCAGCUUCCCUCCCAAGCCUCUAGGUUGGUGAGGGGAGUCUGCCAUUGUUUUCUGAUUCCUG
rnacentral:lncRNA from 1 species